CUCAAUGCUCAAUGGGGAGCUGGUUGGUGCAUAACGGUUCACCACAUGACCCUCUUUGUCAACCAGAAAUUUGGUGAAGUUCCAUUUGAUGCGUUCUCCGAAGAGGCCACCUCUCUCUGACUUCAAGAACUUGUACAGUGGAGCAGCAUUGCCGCCAUUCACAUCAACCUGAUAGGAUACUCUGCUUUGAAGCGGGUACAAGCAAACUCCACAACCUGCUCAUUGCUGCCUGGCUCGUGUAGUUGUAAUUCGUCAGACCACUGCAGAGAUAUCAUCAGAUCAGGUGGGAAAGUACAAACUCUCAUUAGACAAUUUCGAAUGAAAAUGUAAAGACCAAUACCAUCGAGAUGCAGCAUUCACAAUAAGAACAACUUUUCCCUUGUAUCUGCUGAGUUCCACAUCACUCCCCCUCGCAUCCU
rnacentral:sRNA from 1 species